rnacentral:snRNA from 1 species
GUGCUCGCUUCAGCAGCACAAGGACCAAGCCUGGAGCCACACAGUGAAGGUGAGCUUGGCCCCUGCACAGGGUGCCACACGAAUUCCUGAAGGGCCCCCUGUUUGA